GCCUGUAGCACAAUUGGGCGGUGCAUCUGACUGUUAACCAGAAAGUUGGUGGUUCAAGUCCGCCAGAGAGGGCU